UUGAGUUUGUUCAUCUCAUAGGAACUGCUCUAACAAGGAAGGUAACGUAAAUGUGGAAAUUGGCAUACCAUUCAAGGGGGUAAUAUAGAAAAUCCCUGAUUUUAUCUGAACCAUUUUUAAAGUUUUCGUUGUUGAAGACACGACUUGUUAAACGAAGAAAAGUGGCCCGCUCACAUCAGAAAAAAAAUGGAAAAGCAACAGACGCAGCUGAAAAAGAGGAAGAAAAACCUUGAUUAUGAUGAUGAUGAAAAUACUAAUGUCGACACUAUGUUUCCAAUAUUACUAGUAUCAUCUCUUAAUAACAUACACACUGCAUUUACUCAAUCAAGCAAUUACAGAAACUUUAUUCAGUUCUUCACUGUCAACCCAAACCUAUAUUCAACAAUUCAUCAAUACUAUUGAUACUCCCAGUUUUGUUAGAAAAAAACUAAUCCACCCUUCAAUUACAUGUCUCAUUCUUGAGAUUAUUGGUUUUAUUUGACUCUCUUCAAUUGAAGAUAAUCAGAGAAUUGCCCUAGAUGAUGAGAUCUUGAGAGGUUUAUUGAAUUGUUUGAUGAAAUGUAAAUCUAAUAAGAAAGUUUUGGUUUCUGUUUGUAAUGCGGUUUUGGAUGUGUCUACAACCUGGAUUGGAAGGGCAAAGCUGUGUCAAGCAUUUGCUGUGCAGAAACUUAUGAUGAUGCUACUUCAAAACAUGUUGUUCAGUAUUGUAUGGAAAAGGGGAGUAGUGAAUUACAGGUAUUAGUUCUCGAGGCCACUAUCAUUUUAAUCAACACCUGUAAUUUGAAGCAAUUGACAGAGAUUCCAAAGGAGUUGGUUGAGAACUUCUUGAGAUUUGGCUGAAAGUAUAUUUAGGCUUUCUAUCAACAGGAGUGAUGGUUCUACUAAUUGCACACCUGAGGUGGUCAGAAGAAACAUUUUUGGGCCAGACCAUUCUGAAUUUGAACAAUUUAUGUUAAAUUACUAGGAAAAUCACCAUUCCUUUUUACGAAGCUCUCGAAGCCUUUGAAUGAUUGUGGAGAUAGUUUCAGUUCGCUCUUUCGAUCCUUUAGCUCGAAAAGAACAACAAAUGCCAUCAUUUCGUCUAUGUUAGGAGGACUAGUUUUUUGUCCACCGCUCCCAUCAGAUGAUCUAGACAUCAUUAGUCCUAGAAGAGGUUAAAGGUGGAUUAGGUUUCCCUAUGAUUUACGAGCAGGACAUUUGGGUCCUUAAAUCAGUGGAUAUGAGUAACACAAAACCAAAGAGGGAGAUUCAUUAUCACAAGGAACUUACAGAUUCCACUGUCAUGCCUGAUCAUAACAUGGUUGAUGUGCACAAAUGUGAAGAAGCAUUUCUAGAGGGUUAUGCAGUUGCUUUGCGUGGGAUGGAAUUCCGUUCAGAAACUAUUGCUGCUAUUGCAGAUGGGUUGGCAGUUCUGUCAACCAUCUGUAGGCGCCAAUGCAUACCUCACCCCACCUCGGUCUCAGGGUUUGGCUUGGCACUAUGAUGACCACUGUGUGUUUAUCUGCCAGCUUCAUGGACAAAGAGAUGGGUGGUUUCACCACGGCAAACUUCUCUGCUACCUUGAUUAUAUGAACCUCUUCAUCACUUGACUGGUUCUGAAGUUGGAAAUGAUGUUUUUGAGUGUAAACAGUUCUUGCUUCAAGAAGGUCAUAUAUUACAUAUACCCAGAGGUUGUCCUCAUGAAGCAUAUACUGUGGUCUGCCUGAGAUUGAUGACGUGUCCACUGGGUCUUCCUUACACUUGACACUUGGAACUGAGAUCGAGUCUCCAUUUGAUUUUUGUUUUAACAUAGGUAAUUUACAUGUGCACUGUGUGGUCAACUGACACAUGUUGUUGGUCCCAAUGUCGCUGGAAUGACCAGCUUAUGGACAAAGUCUAGUAUGGAUAAUGAAAUCGAAAGAGGUGGGACGGGUUCGCUCAUGUUGCACUUCAUUGCUGGAACCAGAAACAACAAGUCAAUCCAUGUAUCCAUCGACUGUCUGGAGUUCUCAACUUCGUGUACGUAAAUCUUUUGCAUGUUUCAAUACAGCUUAUUGGUUACCGAGAUUCUGUUUUCCGGAAAGGUUGCAUGGUUGCCUCAUUUUCACUUCCCCAGGAUAACAAAGAAAACCAGCUGAGUGAAAAUCUGGAUCUGGACCAGAGAAACACAUUUAGUUAUAUUAUAGACUGUAUUCACAAAGAAGCAAACUUCUUCAAAGCAUUCCGAUGCGUGGAAGAAGCAGUUCAAGAGAAGAAUAAAGAGCUGUUUCAACGAAUGAGGUGGCUCCAUCAUCUUGAUCAUGAGGGAGAAGCGGAUGAGGGUUUUGACUGGAACACCCCUCUGAAAGGAUUUGAAAACCUUCUGCAUUUAUUAUGUGAGAACAAAGAAGAUGCAGAAGCUACAUUUACGUCAAAUUUUUGCAAGGCCGCGGUGUUUGAGAAUGUCUGCGAAAGCUUUGAAAUUUUGCUUCUGAACUACAAAGGGACUAGAAACCACUACAUGAGUGGGAUGCUUUUGUUGCAUUGCUCUUGAGUAAGUUUCAGUAUUUAAAUGCAGAUAAGUCAAUAUCAUUUUGAAUAUCAAUUAUCCCGAGUUUUCUCCCUGGUACCGGGGAUCGUUUCUUCAUCUCGUGGUAAUAAUAAUGGGAUUGCUAUUGGUUUUCCGGAGAAUUAUUCACAUUAUUAUGCUACAGCUUAUAAUAGAAAUGUUACAUGGUGGUUGGUACAUCUGUAGAAUAGCUUUGAGGGCACAACGGCACGACGGAAAAAUCCAUUCCAUUGAAAUAUAUGAACUACAUUCUUAUACCAAAAAGAAUAAAAUAUGAUACAUUCUAAGUUGAAGGGAUCUUUUUGUCUCUCCCUUCACAUACAGUUAACUUCUUUUCUAUGGUCUGGGAUGUUUUGGAGUAGGAGUUGGGUGUGUGGAAACUCCAUGGUAAUCAACAUGAUAAACAAGCUCUUCGCCAUUGUCCUCAGCUUCUGCUGGAACUCCUUGGAUGAUAUCAGAUUGCGUGUUCAUGACCUAUUUGGAAAAUCAUUGGAAAUUUCAGCAACACUGAAGAAGUAGAAGAAGAAGAGGAAGAAGCUAGUAUUGUAAUGGUUGGAGAUGAGAGAACGAAGAUCAAAGUUACUAAGAAGCACAAGUGAGAGGGAGAUUGAUAAAACGAACCGAGUGAGCAGCAGGCAGGAAUCUGAGUGAAGCAGUGCCAAGCCUGCUUUUUCUUUGCAGACCAACGGCAGCUAGUUGUCAUUUGUUGCACAUCGAGGGUCAGUCGUAUUUCCUCAUUCAUUGAAUUGAACAUCAUUUUGGUAUGGGAACAAGAGAUGUGACUCGGUAGAUUUGAAUAAAAAAUGUUUUACAAGCAAUUUUACAUGCAACUGGGGUAUCAAUUGUCAGUUGCCCCACACUCAUUGACCAUCAAUUCAUCCACACUAUAGCCUCAGCACAUACUCACACUCAUACCGUCCUUUUCUCUUUUUUAUGAGAGUAUUAGUUUAGUACCAGGUAAAGAUGCAAGGAAUGGAGUAUGGAAGUGCUAGAUAGCCUAGAUUCCACGUUUCAGUUUCAAGACUGAAUACGAAAUACAGAAAUCACAAGCAAAAAUAUCUUGCUUAACAAAAUAUUGUAUUAACCUUUUGUUAUUAAAAAUCAUUGUGCUCCUAAAUUUACUUGCAACUUCUUUUCAGCUCUAGAAGUCCAGAAAGUCUUUUCCCUCAAGACUGCACGAAAUAAUACGUCUAUGGAGAGAAAUACUAUAGGGGGCUUUUAAUUUGACUAGAGUCAAAACCUUUGCCAUUCUGAAAUACAGGGGUUUUCUUUUUGUUAGUAAACCCCAAUUAUACUUGAAUACUAAUUUUAGAAUCCUCCAUCAAUAUAAAUAGUUUGAGUCCAUACAUAUAAACUUCUCUUGGAAAUUCUCUAUACAAAUAGCUCUCUCGUUUGUUCUUCGUAAUUCACAUCAACUUCGCUAGUUAACACAAGCAGGAUGAUAUGUGUUGUUACAUAAGAAGAUCGAUGAUUUCGUGUUCGAAAGACGAAAAACAGAAAAUGAAGCCGGAAAUUACUUACGAAGAAAGGUGCGCGAUAAUAAGUGCAUGGUUGAAGUGCAAGGACGACGACUUCGACAAACAUAUGUCUGAGUUGAUAAGCCAAAAGAGAAAAGAAAUGUCCAGCUACGAUGAAGACCGGGAAGAGUUGAUUCUUGAUUUUAAAAGGAAAGGUUUUAGUUCUCUCAAAGGUGUUCGAGGUUGGGUUGAGAAAGAGAUGGAAGAAGAACUUCCGCAAAAAAGGGCUGAAUGGAAAAAAGCUAAAGGAUGCAAGAAAAAAGUUCCCCGUGGCGCUGACGUCAAAAAGAGAAAGAUAGUACUGGAUGAUGAAACGUGUCAAAUUAGGCUCACAACCAGUAUUAUUAUACAUAUGGAAGAAGGAGAAGAAGAAAUCAACCGCAACAAAAGGAACAUACGUGCAGAAGAAUCAUGCUAUAUGUGUAGUAAGAUACAGUAAUUGAACUUUUGACUUGUUUUAAAGUUACAGUAGUGCUAGUAAUUAGGAUUAGUGGAGGAUGCACUUAUAGUUAGAGCUUUAUAUAUACAAAAUGGAUCCCUGAACUUAAAGUUUUUUUGACUUAA